GAGAAUAACCCUCAGACAGGCACUAAAUCAUUUGAUAUGAGUAGCUUUUAUUCACAAGUCAGUUAUAUAUCUGUUCGGUAAUCAGUUUCACGGAAAGUUCAAAUAUAUGAUUGGUAAUAUAACCAAAAGCCUCUAAACAACUCCAACUUGUUCCACCAACACCAUGUACUAUUCUCUCAUUUUUCAAAUAAACUAUGCAUACACAAAAUGCUCUCUUGCACAUGAAACCAAAUGACUCAUUGACUCCUAAAUAUAAUUCAAUAGGAAACUCUUAUUUUACACUAAUAAGAGGUAAUUCGACACUAAAAAGGGACUAAUUUGCACUUAAAAAAAUUGCUCAAAAGAAAGGACAAAUUUAGACUAAUAAAAGCUACUCAUAUCAAAUGGUUUAGUGUCGAUGUCGAUACCAAUAGCUUCCGCAACCUUUUUUUAAUCCUUCAGCUACCUAUCAAGCAAAAUAUUUAGGUUAAUGCUAGACCAAACAACAAUUACAAAGAUCAAAAUUAAGCAAUAUGAGUACACUCCAGAUACAAACCAAUUGAACACAAAUUUAACAAAAAAUAAAUGCCGAAAUUCAAGUACUUUAUAAAGUUUUAACAACCAAAACACCAGAUAUCCAACACAUUAGAAACUGAAAUUUUCCAUAUUGGACAAUGGGAAAGAUGGACAAACAAGUUAGUCUAUGACAGAGAUAAAAAGAACAUUGGAUUAUUUGUUUAAUCUACUAGAUUUAAACUUUAUUAUGCAUAACGAGCACUCUUAACAGAGAUGAGUAGUGGCCAAUGUGAGACUUUGCUUCAAUACUGUCUGCAAUGAGGCCUUGAUGUUCUUAUCUGUACUUAUAGCCUAAAAAUUGCUAACCAUACCUGACCAUAGACUUAAUAAAUAGCUUCUAAAGAAUAAGUAGAAAUUAAGAAUUUACUGUUUAUGCCUUUACGAGUUGAUCACACCAAUAAUUAAGCCUACAAGUUACACCACAAAUUGACGGCAUAACUAAGUGAACUCAACGGCUAAACUAGUAAAAUCAACGGCUAAAAUCGGUAAUUUACAUCCAAAACUCACACAUGCAUGCCUUAAAUCAGUGAAAUCGACGGCUAAAUUAGUGAAAUCAACGGCAAAAAUUAUUGAAAUCAACAGUUAAACUAGUAAAAUUGAUGGCUAAAAUCAGUGAUUUUAAAUAAUCUCCACCAAUAAACAUACAUCCAUGCCUUAACCGGUGAAAUCGACGGCUAAUUUAGCAUUUUGAGAGGUAACUCACCAAAAGUUUCUUGUCCUAUACGAGUUCCAUGGAGAAGAAGUCUUUUCUGCUCGUAUUUUCUUUGAGUGAACCUCAAAAUUUGUGGAGAAGAAUAUUUUUUAAGAGAUUGUUAAAGCGAAAGAGAGAAAUGAAGAAUUUACGGGAAAGAAGGAAUUAAGGGAAAGUGAGAUUAUCGGGGAACAUAUGUGGAGACGGAAAUAACACCUAAAUAUAAUUGAAAUAUAAUAGUGGCGAUUUGAGCCGCCACAACUUAGAGCACAACCGGUGUUAUUGAAUUAUUAAUAUGGCAUCUGAAAAAAUGCCGUAAUAUGCUUUAUUUUGCGGCAGGUUUAUCCAACCGCCAUAAUAUACCCGCCCU
rnacentral:lncRNA from 1 species